rnacentral:rRNA from 1 species
GACGAACGCUGGCGGCAUGCCUAAUACAUGCAAGUUGAACGAUGAUAUUCUCUGCUUGCAGAGAAUUGAAGAGUAGCGAACGGGUGAGUAACACGUGGGGAACCUGCCCAUGAGAGGGGGAUAACAUUCGGAAACGGAUGCUAAUACCGCAUAAUGCUUUGGACCGCCUGGUCCAGAGACGAAAGACGGCUUUUGCUGUCACUCAUGGAUGGCCCCGCGCCGUAUUAGCUAGUUGGUGAGGUAAUGGCUCACCAAAGCUGUGACACGUAGCCGACCUGAGAGGGUGAUCGGCCACACUGGGACUGAGACACGGCCCAGACUCCUACGGGAGGCAGCAGUAGGGAAUCUUCCACAAUGGGCGAAAGCCUGAUGGAGCAAUGCCGCGUGAAUGAAGAAGGUCUUCGGAUCGUAAAGUUCUGUUAUUAGAGAAGAACAAGUCAAGGAGUAACUGUCUUGACUUUGACGGUACCUAACCAGAAAGUCACGGCUAACUACGUG